CCCAACUUCGCUUGACAGCCGAUGGUGGUGCGUUUACAUCCCUGUAACUUAGCGGUUCGGGAAAAGGGACCGAUAGAAUAAGUACCAGGCUUACAAAGAAUCAGUUCUGGGGUCGAUUUGCAUGACUAAAGGCGGUGCUCCAGCAUGGCCGAAGUCAAAUUACUGAAACAAGUAAAAGAGUGAAAGAGAGAGAGAGAGAGAGAGAGAGAGGGAGAGAGAGAGAGAGAGAGAGAGAGAGUAAUCUUUCAGUUAAAUAUUAUAUUGAUUUAAUAUAUAACAGAUAAAGGCAACGAGGAGGCAAAAUCGUAAGCAGGCCGGACGUAAUGCUUUGCGGCAUGUCGUCUGUAUUUACGUUCUCAGUUCAAAUUCCGCCAAGUUUUCCAUUUUUUUCUCGUUGUUUAGGUACUCCUCUCGUUUUCCCCUCAUUUAUUUACGUAUUUCAUUUUCUUUGCACCGUUCGUGACGUCCUGUACCCAUAUAUGCAUGUGUGUGUGUGUGUGUGUGUGUGUGUGUGUGUGCAUACAAGGUGCAUAAGAUAUUUGAGAACAAAUUUAUGUUUAUAAAAAACAGAUAUAUAAUAACAGAUAAUAACUUUAGCAAAAAAUGCUAUGAGGAUAAAAAGUAAACCUUUUCUAUAAUGUUAUUCAAUAAAGCCACCUUCAGCUUCAACAACGGCUUCAGUAUAUCUAAAUCAUCUACAUACUCGAAUCAAGUGGUCCUGGUUCAUUUUGAACAUUACUCUGACUGGCGGCUUUCAAAGAAUCUUUGGUGUUAUGGGCGUGUUCAUUGACCUCUGUCUCAACAAUGCUUCACAUGUAAUAGUCCAAUGGAUUGAGGCCAAAUUUUAGGGGUUACGUGAUCAUGAAAAUUUUCAGCCAUCCAUUCCUGUGUUACUAGAGCCAUGUGUGAUAGUGCAGAGUCUUACUGAAACACAUAUGGCCUUCCAUUGCAUACACUGUCUAUCCAGGGCUUAACAAUUAUUUCCAGGACCUCAAUGUAGGCGGCAGAGUUAACUCUAAGGCCUUGUGGAGAGAAGUAAGGAGGCAUCACAUGUCCUUUGUUGUUGACAACCCCUAAAACCAUGACAAUUGCAGAAAAUUUUGUAUGCAUAACACUUGGAACUUCAGAAGGGUCUGCACAUAACCAUCUGUCAUUUUUUCAGUUAACUUUUUGAUCUUGGUCGAAGUUUUUCUCGUUUGAGAAAAAACCAAAUCAAACCUUUUUCUGCUGUAAUUUAUCAGUUUGUUUAAGAGCCUUUUAGAUCUGAUGUAGUGAUUUUCUUUUGCUUUUUCUCACAAAUUGAUCUUUCGUCAUCAUAUGACAUAUAUCUGAUGUAUACGUGGACAAUAUUUCUGACUGUUGCUUCUGACACAUGGAGAUCUUUCGCAAUUAACCUCAUGGACUUUCUGGGAUUGCAAUCAAUAGUCUGCUGAACUUGCUAGAUAAAUUCAGGUGUUCUGGUGAUUUCAGAACGUUUAGAAUGUUUUUUAUGCUUUGAUACUGGUGAUUACUUUCCAUCUUCAUUCUCUAACUCCUCACAAACUUCGUAGACGAAAGAUCUAGCAACUUUUAAAAAUUUAGAUACUUUUAAAUCCUUAUGCUCAGUCUUUAUAACCACAAUAACAGCAUGCCUCUUCCUUUCUUGAGUAAGCUGAGGGUCUGCCAUUAUUUUCUCAAACAAAAAUUAUACAGAGCUAGCAGCAAUGCAGCAAUGACCCAAAAAGGGUUUGUCCUCAAAUACCUUACGCGUACCCUUAUAUAUAUAUAUAUAUAUAUAUAUAUAUAUAUAUAUAUAUAUAUAUAUAUAUAUAUAUAUAUAUACUAGCAGCAUAGCCCGGCGUUGCUCGGGUAUGUAAGAGCCCCUAGUAGGCAACGACUAAUCCCAAUCUAGUCCUUUCCCUCUAGGGAACGAAGGCGCAUGUGUAGGUUGCAAUGUCUUCUCUUCACUCCCAAAUAACUAUCAAACAGCUAUCGAUAAUUCAACCCAACCAAUUCCUACCAGGAAGAAAUUACAUUCGAGACUUUACCCCCAACACCGCCACUUCUGCUAAUAGCUGCUGCAGCCGCAAGUUAUUCGAAUACUUUUUUUGUUUAAACUUUCUUUAUAACUACCACCUCAAACAUUUUACCUUAAAUUUUUGACGUACCCUAAGGGUCCUCGGACGCUACUUGCAAACUCUUGGUUUAUUAUAAACCGCUUUUGUCGUGUGCACCAAAAAACCUUUUCCAUUCGUUUGUUCAGUUUGGUCACUUUUGACUUUUUCGUUGUUGUCACUCACAUUGCUGCCCGCUUUUUUUGCCGUUUUUGUACAUUUUUAUACAUUUUGGGAUACUUACCCCACGUGUUCCGAGAGUUAAAAAGGUCGAGUUGCGUCCCUUAGACAGUCUGUGGUUUGUGUUUAAUACACAAAUCGGUUUGCUAUGUGUGCCACAUAUGAUUUAAUUAACCGAUUUUUUCCAGUAAUAAAGUAUCCUAUUGGAAUAAAAAGGGCCAUAUAGCUCCUCGGAGCAGACAUGAUGCUCGCUGUGAAUUUAAAAAGAAAUUCCUGCCAAUUUGUGAAAGAUAUUGUCGAAAAUAUGUCAUCUUGAAUUUGAACGCGAUUUCCCAAAAUGGCAUGAUUUUAUCGAUUUUUUCUGAUGGUAAGGUAUUCCAUGGAAAACUAACGGCAGAAUUAAGUUUCUUAGGGUAACAUUAAGCUUCACCAUGAGUUUGGUGAAAAUCGAUUGCAAGUUGCGAAAACUACAACAGAAAAUGUGUUGCAUAUAAAAAGCUUAGAUUCUCGACCCCAUGUCAAAUUCAUCGAUUUUUUUCAGAACUGGGGGAACUUUUCAAAAUUUUCGCUGCGUUAGUUUUGAAUUAUGACAUUGGCCUAUGUGUGUGUCAAGUUUCAUUAGAAUCGGUUGAAAGCCGACAGAUACACACACACACACACAGACAAACUGCCGUUUAUAUAUAUAAAGCCUUCGGAGUGAAUUUGGCAGACGGAAACUGAAAGAAGCCCGUCGUGUUUAUAUAUUCUUUUAUUCUUUUACUUGUUUUAGUUAUUUGACUACGGUCUUCAUGGAGCACCGCCUUUAGCCGAGAAAAUCGACCCCAGGACUUAUUCUUUGCAAGCCUAGUACUUAUUCUAUCGGUCUCUUUUGCUGCACCAGCAUCGGUUGUCAAGCGUGGACAAAAACAGACACACAAAUGUAUAUAUAUAUAUUUCCGCAUUACAUUUCUUGUGGCUUGGGACUAAUAAUGGCGGUUACUCGGUUGCCAUGACGUAUAAGUGAGCGAGAUAACAAUAUUACUCAUAAAAGGGGUCGGACUGUUGCAGAUAAAGUUGACUUCGGUGAGAUUUGAACUCAGGAAGUAAAGAAGCGGAAGAAAUGUCAUUAACAUUUUGCCCGACGUGUUAACGAUUCUCCCGGUUCACUUUACUUUGCAUGCAUGCAUACAUACAUACAUACAUACAUACAUACAUACAUACAUACAUACAUACAUACAUACAUACAUACAUACAUGUAUGCAUGUAUGUCGGCUGUGUGUAAGAAGCUUGCUUCCCGAUCACAUGGUUCCAAGUUCAGUCCCACUGCGUGGUACCUUGGACAAAUGUUUUCUACUAUAGCCUCGGGCCAACCAAAGCCUUGUGAGUGGAUGUGGUAGACGGAAACUGAAAAAAGCCCGUUGUAUAUAUGUAUAUAUACCUAGGUAUAUAUUAAUGUGUGAGGGGAAAGGUUAUUUGCGUGUGUGUAUGUGUCUUUGUGUCUAUGUUUGACCCCCACCACCGCUUGACAACCGGUGCAAGUGUGUUUACGUCCCUGUAACUUAGCUCUUCGGCAAGAGACCAAUAGAAUAAGUACUAUGCAUUAAAAACAAGUCCUGGGGUCGAUUCAUUCGACCAACAAAAAUUUACAAGUAGGUGCACCAGCAUGGCCGAAACAAGUAAUAUAUAUAUAUACAUUCGCUUGCAUUUUCCCCCAAAAUUUAAUUCUCUUAGCUUAGAGAUUAGGAGGGCAGCCAUAUUUGAACAGUGUAACUGCCCGAAACUGUAAAGAUAAUUUGGUAACUUGACUGAUAAGAGGCACUUGCGAAUGACCUAUCCUUGUUUCUUCCUGUCCGUCUUCGCAUCGUCUAUCUCUCCGGAUGUUUAUUAUCGUCUGUUGCGUUCUUGUUCUAGUAUAUAUAUAUAUAUAUAUAUAUAUAUAUAUAUAUAUAUAUAUAUAUAUAUAUGUAUAUAUGUAUGUAUGUAUACAUAUAUAUAUGAAUAUAUAUAUACAUAUAUAUAUAUAUAUACACAUAUAUAUUUAUAUGUAUGUGUAUAUAUGUAUGUAUAUAUGCAUUUGUGUGUAUGUUUGUGUCUUUACUUUUGCAUGUGCCCCAGCGCCGUCACUUGACAACCGGUGUUAGUUUGUUUAUGUCACAUAACUUUGCGGUUCAACGAAAGAAUUCCAUAUAAUAAGCACCUGACUUUAAGAAAAAUAUUAUACUGGGUUUAUUUGUUCGGCUAAGACACUUCAUGUUGGUGCCACAGCAUGGCCGCAAUCCAACGAUUGAAGCAAUUAAAACCUAAAAGAUAAAAGAAAGACUUACAUUUCCUUAUCUUUCGCCGAACCAUUUCUCUUCAUCAUUUCCUGCAAUCUCAUCUCUUCAUCAUUUCCAGCAGAAUGCUCACCAACACAAGAUAGUUGCCCCUAUAGCAGUGUUGCUCAACCGGUGUUCAUAUGGCCCCUGAAGGUUCAUCUAAGUUUUUUGGGGUGGGGUGGGGGUGGGGGGCUCCACGCAACAAAAUAGUAAAUUGUGGACCCACAACAGUAUUUUAAGGGCCCCAGAAAAAAUUUUGCUCUAGAUGUAUGUAUUGGUAUGUAUGGCCAGAAACAGUUGGGCUUCUUUCUCUAAUAUUUUACGUAGUAACCUACACAACUUAAUGUUAGUAAAACAAAAUAGGAAUUUUGAAAGAAGUUUCUAUAAAACUGGUUUUUAAACAUCGAAUGGCUAUGGGGCUCCACCAGAAUAAAAUAGUAAUCAAAGGGAUCCAUAGAUAAAACUCUCGGUCAGAACCCCUGCUUUAUAGCAUUCGAUCCUUGACAAGAGCAUUCAGCGCGCACUCCAGUCCGAGGUUGUUGGAGUAAACUCCUGGCAGCAUCUGUCAAGCCUAUCCAGGGUUGUUCAUGUGACUCCCUAGUCACCUGUUGAGGGUCCGAAGGUGGUCCCCUUCUGAUUGGAAUCUAUGCUUUUUCACAUACUUCCUGUUAGUUUCAAGUCAUACUCCUCCGUGCUGGCUUAAAACAUGUUGGAAGAGGGUAUUAAUUUUGGAGGUUUCCCUUCUAGAUUGAUUGCAGUCUUGGGUAUGACAUUAAACUGCAUCCGGUGGCGAGGAUCCUGUUCGGGAGUUCUGGAGUUGUGUUGGGGGGGGGGGAACCACUCCUUAAUUACCCUUACUUCCUGGUCCGCUGAACGGUAGUACCUGUCAGGGUAGAUUGAGUUCCUUAGCUACGGUUAAAGCAAUCAAUUUCCGCUCUCAUUAUACCAAUAUUGAUCUACAAUAUAGACCACCUUCCCCAGCCACCGAUUUACCAUUUCUCUUGUAACUGUUGUUACUAAUUUUGCUUUUGUUGUUGUUGCUGUUGUUGUCAAAGGCAGCGGGAUGGCAGAAUCGUCAGCACAUCGGACGAAAUGCUGCUAAGCUUAGUGAUAUUUUGUUCGUCUUCACGUCCUGUGUUGUAUGAUAUGAACCUGUCCUACACCCACAGAACUUUAAGAAAUGCAAAGCUGAGUCAAAUUGUUAGUAUCUGUUAUUACAUACAUACAAAUGCACACACAUUUAUGUAUGUUAGUGUGUGUAUGUGUGUGUGUGUGUUUCUGACAACUAAAUUCUGCUCUCAAACGUGCCAUAGUGAAGAUAUUUGUAUAUUUGUCCAAGGUGAGGCACAGUGGUGUCAAAUCCAGAGUAACGCGAUUGUGAAGCGAAUUUCUACACCCUUUAAGUGUGCGAGUAUGUGCACAUCAGAUAGAGACACUGUGUGUGUACAUAAAAAAGAGAAUCACAUUGCGUGAAUGCAAGAGAGAGAGAGGUGGGGAUGGAUUAUAGUGAUGAUGUUAUUUUUAAGGGUAAUACCGAUGUUGUUGCUUAGCUCCAGAUCAAAGUUGAUAGUGUAGUCUUAUGAUGAAAGACAUUCCAAUCGUAACCAUUCUGUCUUUUUAGGAGUAUUUGUGACCACAUUGUGUAACAUGCACCUUUUUAAGAUGGCAGGGUGCGGUUUGAGGGAGUUUGGACUGCUAUUUCCCUGUCCAUUAACUCUCCUCGUAGACGUUCUCUAUUGUGUUGGUGGUAGCUGUGGUGUAUAGUUGGUUAUUGUUCGCGUUGUAGUAGCUGUGGUUGGUGUUGUUGUUGGCGAUGAUAAUGGUGUUUGCUAUUAAUGGUGGUGGUGGUUUUGGUGGUGAUAAUGAUGAUGGCUGUGGUGGAGAAAGGGCUUGUGGUAGUGGUGUUAUUGUUGGUGGUGUAAUGCCGGUGAUGAAAGUGGUGUAGGUGGUGCCGGUCGUGUGGCUGGUGUGCUAGUGGUGGUGGUAGUGGUGGAGAUGUCAGUAUGUGUAACAGUAUGUGUGUGUUGAGAGGGAAGAAAACACAAGGGUAUGACAAAAUAGCCAAAGGGCAGACAAUUCUAGUGGUAGAAGAAAGCAGGUGGGUUGGAAUGAAAAGAAAAAGAAAGGAGAGAGAAAAACAACAGGGAAAAGAAAAAAGAGAUAUUGGUGGUGUUGUUGUUAGUGGUGAUGGUGGUGGUGGUGGUGGUGGUGGGUGAUAAAAAGUAUGGACGUUUUAAGGUAAGCUAUGAAGUUAGAAGUUUGGGAGGAAGAAAAGAAGGGGAGAGGAUAAGGAGGAAGUGAUAGUAAUGGUGGUGGUAUCGGGGGAUGAGGAGGAGGAGGAGGAGGUGAGAGUUAGUGAAUGUGGAAGUGAGAGAUGUGAAGAAAGGUUAAUAGUUUGUGAGAGAGGAGGAUGAGAGGGUCCCGUUGUGGAGAACGUUGAAGUGUUGAUCUACAACAACAAUUGCGAACUACGAAAACACCAAGUAACAUCACCAUUUGUGACAAUCGCAAAAACUGAAAUUAAAGACAAAAAAUUAAGACAGCCAAAAAGACAAGAGCGACAACAACAAAAACAACAGCAACAACAACAGUAGCAGCAACAAAAAUAACUAUCAUAACAACAACAACAACAGCAAAAACAGUAACCCUAACAUGAGCAACAUUACAUAUCAAACAAAAAUACCAAUUUCGUUUUGUAUUUGGUUUGCAAGAUUCUUUCUGUGAAUUCGUGUGUUGAAACAUAUUUUAUUGUGUCUGGUGAGAGUCAUUGUCUUAAUGCUUCAUUAAUCGAACCGGUGAGUGUGUUAAUUAAUGAGGCGUUAAAACAGAAUGACUCUCCCCAGAUACAAUAAAAUAGUACCAAUGACAACCACAAAAAACAACAGUAGUUUUUUUCUCUUUUUUGUUUCCUUUCUACUAUAGGCACAAAGUCUGAAGGUGCCACGCAUUGGGAGUGAACCCGAAACCAUGUGGUUGGGAAGCAAGCUUCUUACCACACAGCCACACCAGCGCCUAUAUGUUCACUAAUCAAUUAUAUGGUUUCAAAUUUUGGCAAGGUUUUUAAGGGGAGGGAGCUAGUCGUUGAAAGAAUAAAUGGCAAGGUCGACCUCGGCAGUCUAUAGUGUGACCGUUCAUAUAGCUUGAAAUCAUCUCUGUACGGGGCCAUCAUCUCAGUACAGGCCAUCAUCUCUGUACAAGGUCGAUCUGUGGGGUUGUGUACUCUUUUUAGGGUACCCAAGAUAAAUAAUCCAACCUCGUCGAGUUAUUUAUCACCACCGUUGUAGCUCGCCAAAGAUAUAUCGAACAGUUGGCCGCUUUCUAGUUUAACCCAGGAGUAACUUUCUAGCAUUCAUUUUUAUUGUAAUAUCAGAGUCUCUAAUUUUGGUACAUUGUCUACUGAAGUCUAAGGCCUUCAACAGGACAAGCUACGAUAUUGAAGGGUAAAAAAACCACGAUAGCAAACUAGGUGAAAUUACCGGUUGCUUUAAUUUCGAAGUCGCGAAACCAGUUGAUUGUUGCGAUGCUGGAUCAACUCUGGAGCCCUUCUGAUAUCGGUACUGAUGGCAUCAAGAAUGCGCUUACUUACAAUGUCUAUAUCAUACAUAGCAAGGUAGGCUAACUCCCAUUUAGAAUUGGAAAAAGCAAGUUGGACAUAUGGUCCUUAAGUGUGAUAUAGGGAGCGUGCUGUGCGCUGUUAACACAAUUUUUAAUCUUAAGAAAGUGGCUAGAUUUUUCGUCAGCUUUCUUAUACGUUUCGAUGUUUGCGUUUGUAAGUUGUUUUGAGCUUGGAGAUGUUUGCCUCACACAUGUUCUUUGCUUUGUUAGAGAGACUGUGUACAUUAGAUGAUUGUUUAAAGUGUUUCAUAUAUCUAUGGAAGGAACUUAGAAGUGAUUAGAACAAUGCUGAUAUCUUAGCUUCUUGCUAAUUCUCAUCAAAUCGGCUUUGAUGUUAGUUGCUUUAUCAAGUUGCUUUAUCGGAAGAGAGCACUUUCGGGAUUUGAAACCGAAUUUAUCUGUGGAGGUGCAGUCGGUCGGAUUAUCGAAGGAACACUUUUAUUCUUUCUUUCUUUUUUUUUUCGAUAAGACAUUCUUUUGUUUUUUUUUUAUCCGUUCAUUUGUUUCAGUCAUUUGACUGCGGCCAUGCUGGAGAACCAACUUGAAGGGUGUUAGUCGAAGAAAUCGACCCCAAGACUUAUUCUUUGUAAGCCUAGUACUUAUUCUAUCGGUGUCUUCCGCCGAAUCGCUAGGUUACGGAGACGUAAACAUACCAGCAUCAGUUGUCAAGCGAUGGCGCAGGAACAAACACAUAGACACGCACAGACACACACAGACACACACGCACACACAGACACACACGCACACACACACACACACACAUAUAUAUAUAUAUAUAUAUAUAUAUAUAUAUAUAUAUGUAUGUAUAUAUAUAAGUGUGUAUAUAUAUAUAUAUAUAUAUAUAUACUAGCAGUAUCACCCGGUGUUGCUUGGGUUUGUUUCGACCCUUUAGAAUUGGAAUUUUUGAAAAGUAAAAAUUUUGCAUUAUGCAACUUGUUAUUCUCUUCAAGUGAACAUUUUUCCAGUUGAACUACACUGAAAAAUGGUGACACAACAGUCAAAAAUCGUAAAAAAUAGGGAUUUUCAUUGAAAAAAAGCACCUUUUUGAUGUAAAUAAUUUUUGGUGUUAACAUGGUCCGAUUUGAAUUUUAUCUUCUACAGAAUGAAGAGCAAGCCUUCUUCUAUCAUACUCUCAAUUUUGGUCUACUUGCGCUGCAGGGUCUCGAAGGAGAUAGUGUUAGUUGAAGGCUGUCAAACCUGUCACACACAGACAACUUCAGUUUUAUAUAGAGAGAUUUGCUACACACUAUUUUCCAUUCUUUAUAAUGAAACUUGGUAGAUCCAAAAGUUAAACACACAGACACACACACAGAUACACACACAGACACACAAGUUGAGUUAUAUAUAUAUAUAUAUAUAUACGACGGCCUUUCAUUUUCCGUCUACCAAUUCCAUUCACAAGGCUUUGGUCGGCUAUAGUAGAAUGCGGUGUUCCAGCAUGGCCGCAGUCCAAUGAGGGAAACAAUUAAAAGAUGAAACAUACAAUACUGUAAUAAAGAAUGCUGCUUAUUAAUUAGUAGUGAGUAUGUAACUUUUACUAAAUGAAAACAAUUUCUAAGUCUACACCAUCUAGAGAGGAGUUGCGUGGUUUAGAGGUUAGGGUGUUGAUCACAUGACCGUAAGAUUGUGGUGUAGGCUCGUAUAAUAUAUAUUAAUGAAACAAAACCAAAUAAUAAUAUUUUGAAUGCAUUUAAUACAUACAUUUCUGAUAGCUCUCUAUUUUCCUCUCUAUAAAUAUUCUUCACCUUCUGGCGAUGUUCUCUCCUCAUCUAAUAGACGACUUAAACAGACUUGAAAGGACGAAUUCCAUCAAUUUGCUCAUAUUUUGAAAAGUUCUCACUGAGGCAGAGCUUGCAUAAGAGAUGAAUUUCUGUUUGUCUUUUAUCUAUUGCGCAAUGCUCUGGAACGCGUGUAUUAAAUGCAUUCGAAAUAUCAUAACUUGGUUUGAUUUCAUUAUUUAUACAGAGGAAAAUAUCAGUGUGUAUAUAUAUAUAUAUAUAUAUAUAUAUAUAUAUAUAUAUAUAUAUAUAUAUAUACAUACAUAUAUAUAAUAUAAAUAAUAUAUAAAACGUUGAACACAAUGAGAAACGAAAGCAUAAAAACAAAAACAUGGAAACGAACUUUUUUUCAAACAACAAAAAAACAGAGUACAAGACAAGGAAUAUUCCCCUUCUUCAAUUGUCCCUGUUUCGUCUACUCCACGUUUUGAAAGUAAGGAAAAGACGCGACUUCGUUGAAACAGUCCUUCCCGCAAAGCAAAUUAAAUAAAAUUUGGGAAUUUUUUGCAGAGGGGUAAAAGUAGUAACAAGAACAGGACAGUAAGAACAAAACAAGACAGUAAAAACAAUAAAAGUAAUGUCUGUAUGUGUGUGUGUGUAUAAUAAAGGGUAAAAUUAAUUAAUUAAUUAAUAAUUUUACCCUUUAUUAUUAUUGAUAAUAUAAUUCUCUCCCUGGUAAUAAACUACAGGUUUUUUCUGUAGAAUUUUUGCUCGAUAAAACACACGUGGGUGAGUGAGGGGAGGUACGAGAUCUCAUUCCUAUGUUUUGAAUUCGUUGGUACUGGUCAUUGGAUAUAGUUUGUCUGAUGUCGCUUGGAUUCAGAUAGAUAUGUUCAAUUUUUCAGUGCUCUCAAAUUUAAAAUCUCGAAAUACUGUGCUGAUGAGCGAGAAUGAUAGGAUAUAUAUAUAUAUAUAUAUAUAUAUAUAUAUAUAUAUAUAUAUAUAUAUAUAUAUAUAUAAUAUAUAUAUAUAUAUAUAUAUAAAGCUGAAGUUAUCUGUGUAUGUGGCAGGUUUGGUAGCCUUCAACUAACACUAUCUUCUCCGAGACCCUGCGGCGCAAGUUGACCAAAUUUGAGAGUAUGAUAGAAGAAGGCUUGCUCUUUAUUCAAAUCGGACCAUGUUAAGACCAAAAUUAUUUACAUCAAAAAGGUGCUUUUUUGUAUGAAAAUCCCUAUUUUAUUACAGUUUAUUUUACUGUUGUGUCGCCAUUUUUCGGUGUAUUUCAACCAGAAAAAUGUUUAGUUAAAGAGAAUAACAAGCUACAUUAUGGAAAGUUUUUACUUUUUAAAAAUUCCAAUUCUAAAGGGCCGAAAAGAAAACAAACCCGAGCAACGCCGGGAGAUACUGAUAGUAUAUAUAUAAUGAUAAUUGAUUAAGUAACCAGCAGGUGGCUUUGGUAUUAGUCUUUAUUUUGUAUAACGAUCGUUUCGACCCAUCCUGCUAUUGACCCUUAUGGAUGGGACUCCGUUCAACAUGUGUCGCAUCCAUCCAUUUUGGAGUCUGGGUCAUAUCAAGUACAUCCGUACAUAAAGUGGUGUCUUGCUAAAGAUUCUGAGUUUCGUCUGUCAUGUUAUAUAUAUAUACAUACACACACACACACACACACACACACACACACACACACACACACACACACACACACACAGACACACACACACAAACACACACACACAUACACACACACACACAUAUAUAUAUAUAUAAUAUUUUUUUAUAAUUAUGAGUAUAAUUAUAAUUAGGGUUCAGCAAAAAAUUUGCCUAACCACAUACCGAAAAUUUAGAAAUAGCAGCCAAACAACUAGCUAUUUCUCUACCGUAAGAGAAUCUCCCAGAUAACAUAUACUCAAAAACAAUCCACGUAGGUAAAGAGAAAAAACAACGAAAUUCAUCCGGCAAUUUAAUUAACUGUGAACGCGUUCGGAGUUAGAUAGAUAUGAAAAAUGCAAAAACCACAUUUUCAUCCUAUCAUUCUCGCUCAUCAGCACAGUAUUUCGAGAUUUUAAAUUUGAGAGCACUGAAAAAUUGAACAUAUCUAUCUGAAUCCAAGACAUACUAUAUCUAAUGACCAGUACCAACGAAUUCAAAACAUAGGAAUAAGAUCUCGUACCUCACCUCACUCACCCACGUGUGUUUUAUCGAGCAAAAAUUCUACAGAAAAAAACCUGUAGUUUAUUACCAGGGAGAGAAUUAUAUUAUCAAUAAUAAUAAAGGGUAAAAUUAUUAAUUAAUUAAUUUUUCCCUUUAUUAUAUAUAUAUAUAUAUAUAUAUAUAUAUAUAUAUAUAUAUAUAUAUAUAUAUAUAUAUAUAUAUAUAUAUAUAUAUAUAUAUAUAUAUAUAUAUAUAUAUACACACACACAGACAUUAUUUUUAUUGUUUUUACUGUCUUGUUUUGUUCUUACUGUCCUGUUCUUGUUACCACUUUUACCCCUCCGCAAAAAAUCCCAAAUUAUACUUAAUUUGCUUUGCGGGAAGGACUGUUUCAACGAAGUCGCGUCUUGUCUUUACCUUCGACAAGGAGUAGACGAAAUAGAGACAACUGA
rnacentral:lncRNA from 1 species